rnacentral:lncRNA from 1 species
CUCAUUCUAUAAAAGCAUUCAAAGCAGUGCGCCUUACUCGAUAGGCCUGGGAUUUGUGAUGACUCUCCAUGGGAUAUAAGAUCCCUUGCAGUGGAUGUUUCCCUUCAAUUUGACGUCGAUGGGAUGCACUAAUUUUCGAUACAUUUCUUAGUCGUUUAAAAUCCUCCAAUCGUCUUUCCUCCUCAAGUCCCUUCCGGAGUCCUUCCUCUGCCUCUAAUGUUUUUUCAUGCUCUGACAAAGAAGGAACUUUCGAGGAUCCCUUAAAGAAUUUGACAAUACGAUUUGUCGACGUUGAACAGGCCCUUUGGAAAUAAAACGUCCGUGAUAUGUUACUUAAACUCAUGUUUAUUUUCCCCUGAUAAAUUUAGUAAUUAUACUUCCGAAUAUUUGUUAUGAAAUGACAUAUGAUCAUGAUGUAAAUAUUUACAUAUUUCUACAAGCAUGUAAACAGGACAAUUAUUCUAAUACCCUACGCAACCUUUUCACAUGAAAAUAUUAAAAGAAUUCAUGUUGAUUUGAAUGCAUGCAUCUUUUCGAUAUCAAGCCUGUAUAAAUCGACUUUUUACAUCCAUUUUCAUUGAUGUAUAGCUAAACUUAUACUUUUUAAUAAAAUACGCCUUGGAUACAGUUGAUUUUGUUCAUGUCUCCUAUGAUGUGUCCAGUCUUUUGAUUAUUUCAAAAUAGGAAAAAUCUUAAUACGUCAUUGUGGUAGAGAAAUAUUCAUAACAAAUGAUAAAUACGUACUCUUAGGAACAAUUAAUUAUAUAUUGUUCUUUUAUUAUUCAUUUAUCGAUAAAUUGCUGUAAUGUUACGUAAGGAGCCGACAAGAGUCAAAUCAAGUCCAUUUCGUAAGGUCAUCCAGAAUUUUGGAAUUGCAUUGUUAACCUCGUUUGGAGUUGGGAUCGGCUUUGCUGUAUAUGACGUAAAUUACAGACGAUAUCUUGAGGAGAAGCAUCACUCUCUUUUUAAUUUGAUACAGUAUUUCAUUCCUAAAGAAGAUCAAGGAAAUACAGGUUUGGAACUGAGUCACAAAAAAGAUGCAGAAAUUGUUUUGAAGGCUACAAAAUUUGUAUCUACGAAGGGACCAUAGUUCCUAGUUGCAAAUACUGCCCAAAAACUUUGUAGAUUUACUCGUGGGCGAGUAUUCGUGAUUGAGAAGAGAUGUAUUGGAUAUAUCAUAGUAUGAUGAUUAUACACCUAAUAAAAUUAAAAAACAAAAUGAUAUAUUUUACUUCUUAAUUUGCACAAAGGUACUUAUACAAUGUCUUGUGCACAAUACUUAUUUGCUUCAAUAUUAUUAUAUUGUUAUAUCAAUCGUUUAUCCAUGUCAAAAAUUAUCAAUUAUUUUGUAUUUUUUUACUAUUCUGUUCCUUCCCUUCAAAUUCCAACGCGAAUACUUCCCUAGAGGUGUUUCGCUAACUCAGCAUUAAUAUAUUUAGAUAGUUUAGCUUUAUAAAACUGUAUUGGUCAUUACAUACUAUAAAAGAUACUCGAAAAAUCA